UACGGAGGGAGCUAGCGUUGUUCGGAAUUACUGGGCGUAAAGCGCGCGUAGGCGGCUUUGUAAGUUAGAGGUGAAAGCCCGGGGCUCAACCCCGGAACUGCCUUUAAGACUGCAUCGCUUGAAUCCAGGAGAGGUGAGUGGAAUUCCGAGUGUAGAGGUGAAAUUCGUAGAUAUUCGGAAGAACACCAGUGGCGAAGGCGGCUC
rnacentral:rRNA from 1 species